rnacentral:rRNA from 1 species
AGUUUGAUCCUGGCUCAGAACGAACGCUGGCGGCAGGCUUAACACAUGCAAGUCGAACGCCGUAGCAAUACGGAGUGGCAGACGGGUGAGUAACACGUGGGAACAUGCCCUUCGGUUCGGAAUAACUCAGGGAAACUUGAGCUAAUACCGGAUACGUCCGUAAGGAGAAAGAUUUAUUGCCGAAGGAUUGGCCCGCGUCUGAUUAGCUAGUUGGUGGGGUAAUGGCUCACCAAGGCGACGAUCAGUAGCUGGUCUGAGAGGAUGAUCAGCCACAUUGGGUCUGAGACACGGCCCAAACUCCUACGGGAGGCAGCAGUGGGGAAUAUUGGACAAUGGGCGCAAGCCUGAUCCAGCCAUGCCGCGUGAGUGAUGAAGGCCCUAGGGUUGUAAAGCUCUUUUACCCGGGAAGAUAAUGACGGUACCGGGAGAAUAAGCCCCGGCUAACUUCGUGCCAGCAGCCGCGGUAAUA